GUAAAAAUCCCCCUUUGACAAUUCUAAAGAAAAGAAUAAGUACAAUCUCUUCAUUUUAUAUCUUUAAAUCUUUUCUUAAGGUAGACAUGAGAUAUCAUUGUGCGGAAACAAAUUCUAUCACAAAUGUAAACAUUCCAUUUAGCACCAGUCUUAACUAUCCAAUGGUGAUUCUGAAAUUCCUACAUAUAUUUUUUUGGUCUUUUGUGUUUUUUAGGGCCACACCCGCAGCAUAUGGAGGUUCCCAGGCCAGGGGUUGAAUUGGAGCUGUAGCUGCUGCCUACACCACAGCCACAGUAAUGCCAGAUCCAAACAGCAUCUGCGACUUACACCACAGCUCAUGGCAACACCAAAUCCUUAACCCACUGAAUGAGGCCAGGGAUCGAACCCAUGUCUUCAUGGAUACUAGUCGGGUUCGUUAACCACUGAACCAUGACGGGAACUCCUGAAAUUCUUAUGUUUUAAAAAAAUAAAAACUAGCCAACUCCUUUGUGAAAAGAACCUGACCAGUGCCAAUGUGUAAAUUAGUCCUGGCCUGCAGACCAAAUAAUGGUCUAUCAUCUUGAAAAGUAGAGUACACUAUUUAGAGUUUGAUUGUUGGUUUUAUUUCUUUGGCUUCUUCCUCAUGGGUGGUGAUGGUGGGGGGAGUGGGCCUGGAAAAGAAGGGACAUGUGUCCCCCACAGCAGUGUCCACAGCCCAAUCCUCUCAACUAUAAAAAAAAAAAAAGUCGCCCUUCCCCAAAUGUGCAAUCUGGUUUGGAAAACUCACAUUUAUUCAACGAAACAAAAACACCACAAAAAAAAAAAAAAGGUAGCUCUUACCACAUGCAAGCGCUAUUGUAGAUGCUAGAGAUACAAAGACAGAUGGGAAUUCAUAGCCCCAGGAGUGGAAGAAACAAACAUGUAAGUGAACAGUCACAACAGUGAACAGAAACUGAAUUAACAGAUGUGAUUCAGAGCAGGUACAACUUCCGGGCAGUGAAGAUUUCACAGAAAUGGCUGUUUUCAGGAUGCAGGCGGCCCAUUCCAAGGUUAAGUACUUUUAAAGCAAAAACCCAAUGACCAGACUAAAAACCUUAAUUUCUGAAUGUGAGGACUUUUACAUUCAGGUUCUUAUACAUUAUAUAAACACACACCAAUAACCCAUAACAAGGGAAAUUAGCUCAGUCUGAGAACAUGAUUCAUCAUCAUUCACACCCGCUCAAUUUAGGUCCCUCCCCAAACAGGCAUUACAUUGAGGACUACGUGGUAGCAACUGUCCAAAAUUAGGACAGAGACUUCUGUUGUUAUACGAACAAUAUAAAACAGUAUCAUACCUCUGGAUGUAUUCAACUGUUAGACUGUAAACUGUCAGUUCUUUCUUUUUUUUUUUUUUUUGUCUUUUGUCUUUUGUCCUUUUUAGGGCUACACCCGCAGCAUAUGGAGGUUCCCAGGCUAGGGGUCUAAUCAGAGCUGUAGCCACCGGCCUACGCUAGAGCCACAGCAACGCCAGAUCCCAGCAGCGCCUGCGACCUACACAGCUCACAGCAGUGCGGGAUCCUUAACUCACUGAGCAAGGCCAGGGAUCAAACCCGCAACUUCAUGGUUCCUAGUCGGAUUCGUUCCGCUUCGCCACAGAAUGAGUAAUAAAGACCUAAACACCUGCA
rnacentral:lncRNA from 1 species